rnacentral:rRNA from 1 species
ACGGGUGAGUAACACGUGGGUGAUCUGCCCUGCACUUUGGGAUAAGCCUGGGAAACUGGGUCUAAUACCGAAUAGGACCACGCGCUUCAUGGUGUGUGGUGGAAAGCUUUUGCGGUGUGGGAUGGGCCCGCGGCCUAUCAGCUUGUUGGUGGGGUAAUGGCCUACCAAGGCGACGACGGGUAGCCGGCCUGAGAGGGUGACCGGCCACACUGGGACUGAGAUACGGCCCAGACUCCUACGGGAGGCAGCAGUGGGGAAUAUUGCACAAUGGGCGCAAGCCUGAUGCAGCGACGCCGCGUGAGGGAUGACGGCCUUCGGGUUGUAAACCUCUUUCACCAGGGACGAAGCGUAAGUGACGGUACCUGGAGAAGAAGCACCGGCCAACUACGUGCCAGCAGCCGCGGUAAUACGUAGGGUGCGAGCGUUGUCCGGAAUUACUGGGCGUAAAGAGCUCGUAGGUGGUUUGUCGCGUUGUUCGUGAAAACUCACAGCUUAACUGUGGGCGUGCGGGCGAUACGGGCUGACUAGAGUACUGCAGGGGAGACUGGAAUUCCUGGUGUAGCGGUGGAAUGCGCAGA